CUCAACCGACUUUUAUUACAAACAAAACAGUGCAAAACAAAAAGUGUGUUCGUUCUUGUGUUGUUAGUUAUUUUUGUAUCUAAUAAUUGCACUUUCCUUAAGUUUAUAUGAUAUUUAUGUAUGAAAUUAUGACUACCUAGAGUGGGAAAUAUUUUUAUUCUUCAAAUUGAAGUGAUAUUCAAUGAAUUAAUGGAGGAAUCUUUUUCGUUUGUCUACUAACCUCAAAAUUCAAAAUGAUAAGACACUUCGCCCCGAGUCAGAGGGGCAAGCGUCCACUCGUUUCGGACAAUUGUAAUGAGCUGCCUUUCGUGAAACCUGCGACAAUCAUAGUACAGAAGGAGAAACGUAGCAGAAAAACAAAGGAAGUUGUUAUUAAAGAACUCAAGCCGCUACUUCUUUCUGAUCAAGAUCUCCACGCUACACAAGAAGUUAUAUCCGAACAUGAACUCAGAGUUCGGAAACUUUUAAGUAAACCAUUUAAAAUUCCAAUUCCCGGCUAUGAACUCUCGGGUCGUUCUCUGGGUUUUCGAUUAUCAGGUCCUAGAAGAGCUCUACACGAUCCUGAUGAGGCGAAUGCUUUGGUCGUUUAUGUUCCACCUGAAAUAUCCGAACACGAUAAAAUAAAACUCGAUGCAAAUAAGCAAUUGGUACAUGUAGUGGUGGAUCCUUUGCUGUGCAACAUUCUGCGGCCACAUCAGAGGGAAGGCGUCAAGUUUAUGUACGAAUGUGUCACUGGAGUUCGUAUAGAGGAUGCUUACGGAUGCAUAAUGGCCGAUGAAAUGGGUCUCGGUAAAACGUUACAGUGUAUAACACUUUUGUGGACUCUUUUGAAACAGGGCCCCGAAGCAAAACCCUUAAUCGAAAAAGCAAUAAUAGUAUCUCCAAGUUCUCUUGUGAAAAACUGGUACAACGAAAUCUUCAAAUGGCUGAACAACAGAGUGAAACCCCUCGCGAUCGACGGGGGCAGUAAGAACGACAUAGACGCAAAGCUCAGAGGUUUCAUGAAGACAUACGGACGAAGAUGCGCAAAUCCAAUUCUCAUUAUUAGUUACGAAACAUUUCGUAUGCACGCUCACGUGCUACAUGAAGACGAAGUCGGCCUCGUCCUUUGCGACGAAGGUCAUCGUCUCAAAAAUUGCGAGAACCAAACGUAUCAAGCUCUGAUGGGUAUAAAGGCAAAGCGAAGAGUACUUCUUAGUGGAACCCCAAUUCAGAAUGAUCUUCUCGAGUAUUUCUCCCUCAUUCAGUUCGUAAAUCAAGGAUUACUUGGAUCUGCGCAGGAAUUUAGAAAAAAAUUCGAAAAUCCAAUUCUUCGCGGUCAGGAUGCAAUGGCAAGUGAUAAAGAGCGGGCAUUGGCUCAGGAGAGAUUGGCAGAGUUGGUGGCAGUUGUCAAUAAGUGUCUUAUCAGAAGAACUAGUGCUCUGCUUUCCAAAUAUUUACCUUUGAAACAUGAAUUGGUUGUUUGUAUAAAAAUGAGCGCUUUACAGAAUCAGCUUUACAAGAACUUUAUCAAAAGUGAUAGUAUUAAGAGAUCAAUGCAAGAAAAAGAAAACGUCAAAAAUGGAAAAAGCAUUACUGCUUUGUCUGCAAUAACACUCUUAAAAAAGUUGUGCAAUCAUCCCGAUUUAGUUUAUGAGAAAAUUAAAGAGAACUCGGAAGGAUUUGAAGGAGCUUCAAAAUUACUGCCGGCAAAUUACAGUACAAAAGAAGUGCAGCCCGAAUUAUCUGGAAAGCUGAUGGUGCUCGACUGUCUCUUGGCUUCAAUUAAAUCAACAACCACCGAUAAAAUUGUCCUCGUCUCCAACUACACCCAGACGUUGGAUCUUUUCGAAAAACUGUCCCACAAACGAAGUUAUCGCUAUGUGAGAUUGGACGGUUCAAUGACAAUAAAGAAGAGAGCGAAGAUUGUAGAAUCCUUCAACGAUCCCAACAGUUCGGACUUCAUCUUCAUGCUGAGUUCAAAAGCCGGCGGUUGUGGUUUGAAUUUAAUUGGCGCAAAUCGUCUUGUCAUGUUCGAUCCAGACUGGAAUCCGGCGAACGACGAUCAAGCCAUGGCUCGCGUUUGGAGAGACGGACAGAAAAAGCCCUGUUUCGUUUAUCGCUUUCUUUGCACUGGUACGAUUGAAGAGAAGAUUUUCCAGCGACAGGCUCACAAGAAGGCUUUGAGUUCGACUGUCGUCGAUCAGGACGAAGACGUAGCUCGACACUUUACUCUUAGCGAUUUAAGAGAUCUUUUCAGAUUAGAGGAAAAUACUAUUUCUGAUACUCAUUCCAAAUUUAAAUGCAAGAGAUGUGUGAACGGAGUGGAAGUAAAAGGACCUCCAGAAAAUUCUGACUGCACAUCCGAUCUAUCGGAUUGGAGGCAUUCCCACACUCCGAAACAUUUGCCAGACAUACCUCUUCGACAGUGUUGGUCCAGUGGCAUUUCUUUUGUCUUUCAUCAUCGUUCUCAUGAACAAGUCACUACGUGACUGGUGAUUCAUCCAAGAGAACGCAGAACGGUAGAAAAAUAAUUAAUUAACAUGUCUGCAUUCCUUUGGAUGAACUUGUUUUAGGGGGUGUCAAAGACUAGCCAACUGUUCGAUAAAAGCUUCCAUGGAAAAAUUCAAUCGACUUUGACAUCCCUUCGAGUUGUUUUGUACAAAAAAUAUGAUUUUUCUUUACCAAGAUGUGGAUUAAGGACUUUUUCCCCCGUCGUUUCAUUCAAGGCAAGAAUUUGCACACUAUUGUUCAUUCGACUUGUAUCAUUCAUAAUAUUAACAUUAAUGUGAUUUACGUACGUCAAUUUAUUUUUAUUAUCAGCAAAAUCAUUUUUCUCUAAUUGAAAGUUUAAAUUUGUUGAAAUACUUUUGAAUUUUGUUCCGUUGUUUGAAAAUGUUUCUUUGUCAUCUUGUGAAAAUAACGUAGAGUUUAUAUUUUCUUUAAUUGGCUCUUCUAAACUUCCAAUUACCAGAAACAUUUUGGCAAAAUCGACAGAUAGUCUGGAUUUUUUCUUUUCAGAAUUGCCAUUUGUCGCAUUAUUUAUGGUAUUUUUACUAUCUUCUGGAAUUUCAACAAACUCGUCACUCUUUUCAUUGAAAUCUUCUGCCCCUUGUAAGACCUAAAAAGAAAAUUCAAUGUUCUGCAAAAAUAUAUUAUUUACUAAAUAU